GACGAGGGGUCCUAGCGUUGUUCGGAAUUAUUGGGCGUAAAGCGAGUGUAGGUGGUCUGUUUAGUCAGAUGUGAAAGCCCUGGGCUCAACCCAGGAAGUGCAUUUGAUACUGGCGGACUUGAGUAUGGGAGAGGAUAGUGGAAUUCCUGGUGUAGUGGUGAAAUACGUAGAUAUCAGGAGGAACACCGGUGGCGAAGGCGGCUAUCUGGCCCAAUACUGACACUCAGACUCGAAAGCGUGGGUAGCAAACAGG
rnacentral:rRNA from 1 species